UCUUCUUUCUUCUUCUUU
rnacentral:sRNA from 1 species